AACGUACGCUGGCGGCACGCUUAACACAUGCAAGUCGAACGAAGUAGCAAUACUUAGUGGCAGACGGGUGAGUAACAUGUGGGUAUCUGCCCUUUGGCCUGGAAUAACACGAGGAAACUUGUGCUAAUACCGGAUAAGUCUUUACGGAGAAAGCUUUAUGCACCAUUGGAUGAGCCCGCACUUGAUUAGUUUGUUGGUGGGGUAAUGGCCUACCAAGACUAUGAUCAAUAGCUGAUUUGAGAGGAUGAUCAGCCACAUUGGGACUGAGACACGGCCCAAACUCCUACGGGAGGCAGCAGUGGGGAAUCUUGCACAAUGGAGGAAACUCUGAUGCAGCGAUGCCGCGUGAGUGAAGAAGGCCCUUGGGUUGUAAAGCUCUUUCGUCGGGGAAGAAAAUGACUGUACCCGAAUAAGAAGGUCCGGCUAACUUCGUGCCAGCAGCCGCGGUAAUACGAAGGGACCUAGCGUAGUUCGGAAUUACUGGGCUUAAAGAGUUCGUAGGUGGUUGAAAAAGUUAGUGGUGAAAUCCCAGAGCUUAACUCUGGAACUGCCAUUAAAACUUUUCAGCUAGAGUAUGAUAGAGGAAAGCAGAAUUUCUAGUGUAGAGGUGAAAUUCGUAGAUAUUAGAAAGAAUACCAAUUGCGAAGGCAGCUUUCUGGAUCAUUACUGACACUGAGGAACGAAAGCAUGGGUAGCGAAGAGGAUUAGAUACCCUCGUAGUCCAUGCCGUAAACGAUGUGUGUUAGACGUUGGAAAUUUAUUUUCAGUGUCGCAGCGAAAGCGAUAAACACACCGCCUGGGGAGUACGACCGCAAGGUUAAAACUCAAAUGAAUUGACGGGGACCCGCACAAGUAGUGGAGCAUGUGGUUUAAUUCGAAGAUACGCGCAGAACCUUACCAACACUUGACAUGUUCGUCGCGACUCUAAGAGAUUAGAGUUUUCGGUUCGGCCGGACGAAACACAGGUGCUGCAUGGCUGUCGUCAGCUCGUGUCGUGAGAUGUUGGGUUAAGUCCCGCAACGAGCGCAACCCUCACUUUUAGUUGCCAUCAUUAAGUUGGGCACUCUGAAAGAACUGCCAGUGAUAAGCUGGAGGAAGGUGGGGAUGACGUCAAGUCCUCAUGGCCCUUACGUGUUGGGCUACACACGUGCUACAAUGGUAUCUACAACAGGAAGCAAGACUGCGAGGUCAAGCAAAUCCUUAAAAGAUACCUCAGUUCGGAUUGCACUCUGCAAACUCGAGUGCAUGAAGCUGGAAUUACUAGUAAUCGUGGAAUCAGCGUGCCACGGUGAAUGCGUUCCCGGGUCU
rnacentral:rRNA from 1 species